rnacentral:misc_RNA from 1 species
ACUGCAUAUGAUGGGUCGUGAUGAUAUUCCAGUUGGUCUUGGAGAUGUAUUUGCAAUCAACCAAUCUGAUUCAAUUUUCUCUGCUGUUGGAGACUGCAAGUAUGUUAAGGCCAUCCCACAUGGAAGUGGUGGAUUUUUGGAUUCAGACACCCUAUAUGGGCUUGCUCGAAAUCUGCCACGAAGCCCCAGAAGGUAUACUGCAGAAAACUCUGCAAAAUUUGGAGCUCCUCGCGACACAGAUCACCCUGAACUUAGACAGCCUCUAGCACUCGAAAUUUGGGAUUCCGUAGUGCAAAAAUUGGAACCAGGAUCUAAGA